rnacentral:misc_RNA from 1 species
AAGUCGUAACGAGGUUUCCGUAGGUGAACCUGCGGAAGGAUCAUUAUUGAGUUUAUAAAGAAGGGGUGGGUCUUAAUUGAGUUGCCCCUUCUUUUUUUCUCUCCUUCACCCUUUUGUUAUUGAUUCUCAGGUUGCUUUGGCAGGGAAGAUUCCUGCCAAGGAACAAUUUUAAACACUUUGUUAUCCAAUAAUUAGGAUGUCUUUUGUCUGAUUUUUAUGACUAAAAAGUACAUAAAACUUUCAACAACGGAUCUCUUGGUUCUG